GGCUUGAAGCGGAGAUCCAACAGUAUAGGACUGUUGAAAAAAUAUUUCGACAUUCAUUUCAUAAUAAAUUUAAAAUAAAAUACAAGUUGACGAACUGAGAUCAAAAUCAGCUCAAAUAAAAUUCAGACAAAAAAUAUAUGCAUAUAGGAGUAGCUAGUAUGGCCCAUGGGCGGUGGAGGGACCACGGGCCAGCAUAGGCCGACGGCGGCAC
rnacentral:lncRNA from 1 species